rnacentral:misc_RNA from 1 species
GAAAUGCGAUAAGUAGUGUGAAUUGCAGAAUUCAGUGAAUCAUCGAAUCUUUGAACGCACAUUGCGCCCCUUGGUAUUCCAUGGGGCAUGCCUGUUCGAGCGUCAUAUGUACCCUCAAGCUCUGCUUGGUGUUGGGUGUUUGUCCCGUCUCCGCGCGUGGACUCGCCCCAAAGUGAUUGGCAGCCGGCGUACUGGUCCCGGAGCGCAGCACAUGUCGCGCAAACGAGUGCCUUGGUACGGCGGCGUCCAUAAGCCCCUCUCUCACGCUCUUGACCUCGGAUCAGGUAGGGAUACCCGCUGAACUUAAGC